GUUCCCAUAUUUUAACAACCCUCUCAACGCUGAUGGCACUAAACGAUUUGACUUGUUACCAAUUAAUGACGGCCCUGGUGUAGCACCUCAAUCAAAUAGAACCAUUUUCGUUGCUCCCAAUCAGUUCUUAUUGAUAUACCCCAUGGGGCAGGAGUGCUUCAAAGAGUUUAUGGAAGCAUUGAGAAGCAACUUGGGAGAUUCAAGUUUCAUUUCUCCAUGUGACUGCAAGAACUGAAAUGCCAAGUUUAUCCAUAAUCACAAUAUAUUCGGGGAGCACUUGAUAGCUAGAUCGUGAAGCACCUUUUAGAAUCGAAUAAAUGAAUCGACAUUUGGCGACAUUGUGAUCAAUGUCAUAGUCCUUGAGAUAUAGAUUAUCGAUUUUAAGGAAAUUGUAUGGAAAAUGUAGCAGACACUGAUUUUAACAAAACCUCUCAUAGUUUCAGCGCAGUGGAUUGAAAAACAUCUUUACGGAACCGCGAAUCUAUAGUUUAUGUUAACAUUGUGUAACCAAUGAUCGCUUCUCCGAUGAUAUAACACAGGCGCAUUUAUAAGUAAGAACCUCAUGCAAGUUGACUAUGAGGAGUAUCAGGGUGAGAGCUAUUGUGAAUGUGAUGAAUGAAUGAUGUGAUGAACUGAUAAAAAAAUUUCUUGGUCUGAGCGUCUCUCUUCUAUGCCAUAGAAAAAUCAGAACCAGGUUAUCAGUAUGUGUAGUUUCCUCCACGUUUUCACUGACAGAGUCGUGUGACGUUUUGCCGCAUCUAACUUGCACCAGCAGAAGAGGUUGUUGCACUUCAGGUGCAUUUCCAUGGAAAAAAUAGGUUGCGAUGGUUUUAGAAGGGUCGUUGAAAUCGAAUCUUCAACAAUAC